rnacentral:rRNA from 1 species
GACGAACGCUGGCGGCGUGCUUAACACAUGCAAGUCGAACGGUAAGGCCCCGCUUUUGUGGGGUGCUCGAGUGGCGAACGGGUGAGUAACACGUGAGUAACCUGCCCUUGACUUUGGGAUAACUUCAGGAAACUGGGGCUAAUACCGGAUAGGAGCUCCUGGUGCUUGGUGGGGGUUGGAAAGUUUCGGCGGUUGGGGAUGGACUCGCGGCUUAUGAGCUGGUUGGUGGGGUAGUGGCUUACCAAGGCUUUGACGGGUAGCCGGCCUGAGAGGGUGACCGGCCACAUUGGGACUGAGAUACGGCCCAGACUCCUACGGGAGGCAGCAGUGGGGAAUAUUGCACAAUGGGCGGAAGCCUGAUGCAGCAACGCCGCUUGCGGGAUGACGGCCUUCGGGUUGUAAACCGCUUUCGCCUGUGACGAAGCGUGAGUGACGGUAGUGGGUAAAGAAGCACCGGCUAACUACGUG